CUCUGUGAUGGCAGCAGAGACUCUUAAGACGCCUCUGGCCUGUCUAGGUUUGUAUCACUUUCGUUUGUUCCAAGAUGGGUUUUCUGUGAAGCCCUGGCUGCCCUGGACCUUGCUCUGUGGUCCAGGCUGGCCAGACUCCCGAGCCUCCGCCUCCCGAGCCAGCAGAGAACACUCUGCUGUAGUCGGUGAUUUCCUUUCCCAUGUGGGUGGCAGGGAUUGAACUCAGGGACUCUGGCUUGGCAGAAGGCUGAUGCCCUCUGAACACUCCUGCCUGCCCUGGUGGCAAGAAUCUCUUCAGGACACUACAUGAGCGAGCAGACGGUGGAUGGUGUUUUGGGUGACAUGAGCAAUGGUAUGGACACAUGAGGAACUGGACCGGCUGCGGAGUGAGAGGAGAAGUCGCAGCCCUGAAUCAUGAUUCGGGCAGGAAAGGCAGAGGAGAGCCGGGAGAGGCCAGAGCGGAAGGACAGAGCUCUGUAAGGACAGGGUGGGAGAAUCUGAAGCAGUUCUGAAUGGCAGCGGGGCACUCACCAAGGAUGCUUAAUGACCAAAUGUGUGACGUGGGGGCUGGCAAAAGAGACUCUGGGCUGGCUCAGAGCAACGGGCCUUGCCAUCCAGCCUGAUGCUGGGUCCUAGGACCAAGGUGGGGUAAGGAGCAACUCCCUCAAGCUGCCCUUUGACCUCACACUGAUGCCGCAGGGUGGUGUCACCCACUUACAUGCAGACGUAAUAAAUAAACAAUGAAAAAUAAAUAAAUCGUAUUAAAAAUAAUACCUGCCGGGCGCAGUGGUGCACGCCUGUGAUCCCAGCACCUGGGGAUUACAGAGGCAGGCAGAUCUCUGUGAGUUCCAGGCCAGCCUGGCCCACACAUCGAGUCCAGACGGCCGGGGCUACGCAGAGAAACGCUGUCUUGUUGCUCUUGCAGGGUCCCGUUCUCAGCACCCAAACGGCGGCUCACAGGCGUCUGUGACACCAGUUCUCCAGCAUCCAUCGCCCUCUUCUGACCUCCAUGGACACCAUGGACAUGUGGAAGUGGCACCGGAGUUGUUGCUGGAGAAAUUGGAGCACCUUAAGGAAGAAGGGUUCGAUUUGGCUCGCGAGUUGAUACAGUUCCCCAGGAUGGCAG